CAGAGUCUCAUAAAAGCGUCUCUUCGCCAGAAUCAAUACACUAAGAAACUGCCCAAAUCACAUGUAUCUUUGAAGAUUUUGUUCAUAAACUUUCUCGUCGGCUUCUGCAAACAAUUCCUAUAUGCAGUUUAAGGUAGCAUGUACAUGAGGAGCAACCCAAUAUUGAAAUAUUUAUCUGAAAGUUUGUAUUUGAGGAAAGAGAGAGGCUCUUUCUCGAAGCACUGGCUCAAAAGGAAGCUCAAGAGGUAGAAGAAGAAGAACGAAGGAGAGUGGAAGAUGAGGAAGAAAAGGCGAAACAAUGCCAGUCAUGCUCUCGUGGAACGUCAUGCAACUUUAUCCAUUGUUUUCGCAAUCCUGGUGGAGAUUAUAAAUAGGCGGACAUG